rnacentral:rRNA from 1 species
CAAAAACAUUUUUAUUAGAUUAAAUUAAUAAUAAAGUCUGCUCAAUGAAAAUUAAAUAGCCGCUCUAGUGCUAAGGUAGUAUAAUAAUUUGUCUUUUAAUUAAAGAAUACAACAAAAGACUUAACAUUUUAAAUAAUUUUUUAUUAAAAAUUAUUUAAAUUAUAUUAAUUGUAAAAAGACAAUUAUAUUAAAGAAAGACGAUAAGACCCUAUCGAACUUAACUUUAGUUUAACUGGGGCAGUUAAUUAAUUAUUACUUUAAUAUAAUUAAAUAUAAAAAUUGACCUAAUAUAAUUAAUAAAAUAAUUAAGUUACCGUAGGGAUAACAGCGUAAUAAAAUUUUUAAGACCUUAUUUUAAAUAAAGAUUACGACCUCGAUGUUGAUUUAAUAACCUAACACACGCAAUAGUCAGAAAAGGAAGUCUGUUCGACUUUUAAAAAAUUAC